UACAGGGGGUGCAAACGUUGCUCGGAAUCAUUGGGCGUAAAGCGCACGUAGGCGGUUCGUUAUGUCGGAUGUGAAAGCCCUUGGCUUAACCGAGGAAGUGCAUCCGAAACUGGCGAGCUAGAGUACGAGAGAGGAUCGCGGAAUUCCCGGUGUAGAGGUGAAAUUCGUAGAUAUCGGGAGGAACACCGGUGGCGAAGGCGGCGAUCUGGGUCGAUACUGACGCUGAGGUGCGAAAGCGUGGGGAGCAAACAGG
rnacentral:rRNA from 1 species